rnacentral:rRNA from 1 species
AACGAACGCUGGCGGCAGGCUUAACACAUGCAAGUCGAGCGCCCCGCAAGGGGAGCGGCAGACGGGUGAGUAACGCGUGGGAAUCUACCCAUCUCUACGGAACAACUCCGGGAAACUGGAGCUAAUACCGUAUACGUCCUUCGGGAGAAAGAUUUAUCGGAGAUGGAUGAGCCCGCGUUGGAUUAGCUAGUUGGUGGGGUAAUGGCCUACCAAGGCGACGAUCCAUAGCUGGUCUGAGAGGAAGAUCAGCCACACUGGGACUGAGACACGGCCCAGACUCCUACGGGAGGCAGCAGUUGGGAAUCUUGGACAAUGGGGGAAACCCUGAUCCAGCCAUGCCGCGUGAGUGAUGAAGGCCUUCGGGUUGUAAAGUCCUUUCGGCGGGGAAGAUGAUGACGGUACCCGCAGAAGAAGCCCCGGCAAACUUCGUG